GGAGGGGGCGGUGUCCCCAGCCGACGCCGCUUCCGCCCUUAAGGUAUCGGUGCCCCUCCGUGGCUCGGAGGUCCAGGCCGGGAGCCUCUCGUGGCAGGGGGUCGCUGCCGCACUGACUGGAGCCCAGGAGCUUCUGGAGCACGUGCGAAAUACUGAGGAAACACAAGGGAAACAUAAAGGAAAAGCAGAAAGUUUGCCUGCCUGUGUUGUGGUAACUCCCUAGGAAGGCAAGGCUGGCAUCUAACUCAUCUCUUCAGAACCAGCACCUGACACCAGGUGACCCCUGGAAGGUGUGGAGAGGAGUGACUAGUGAGGCAUCUAAAAGUCUCCAGGUACUGGCCUAAACAGUCGUGGAUUCUGGGAACAGCAGAGCUUCACAGUGCAGACAAGCCCUUGGGUGAGGCCAAUUAUCUAUGAUGGCGAGGCUGUUCUGGUCCUCCUGAGAACCAGAUGUUCUCUCAAGCAACAGAGCCUUCCUAGGAACACCUUGCAGAACAAGACCUGAGACAGUGAUGGACCAGACUGCACCUUGACUGGCUCUGCUGAGUUCUUCACGCCUAGCCUCUUCCUGGUUCUUUUUUAAGGCUGCCAGCCGAAGGUGUGGCCCAGAUUCAAGGUGGAUCGUCCCACCUCAAGAGAUCUGGAUUAAAGGUUAGAGCUAUUAUCAGCCUUGGCCAGAGGAGCUUCUGCAGUGGGCAGUAGUUAAUGAAGAGACUCGUAAUGAUCAAAGUUCUGAGAAUAAGUGAUUUCUGAGUGCUUGUCCCUCAAAAGGCGUCUCCAUCACCCUUCCUCCCAGACUCAGGGGUUAUCAUGGUAGAGGGGGCAGAAAAAAUAUGAGAACUGGAGGACUGGGCGGAGGGCUAUGACAUGAUAUGGUCAUUGAACUCAUGAACUCACUAUAGCUAUGGUUACCUGUGUAAGGAUUCAGGCAUUAUGCUGGCCUGCCCCUGUCACAUGGCAGAAUGCACUCAGGCAGCACCUGGUAUCCCCCUCAAUAAAACUUCCAAUAUGAGUCAGUCUACAGGCCUCUGUUUCCCCACCCACCUGCCAUCCGUCCCAGGAUGGAGAUCCUCGUGGUCCCAUCACGGGCCCAGGGACCUGCCAUUCUAACCCACUCUUCAUUAUUCAUAACAACCUGCAUAGGAUCAAGCCAACAAGAUCAGUCAACGUUAUACCAGGCAGCACCAACUGGACUCAGUAGGUUACCCAUCACCACAAAAGAAGAAGUCAGAAAGGUGGGAGGUGUGUUAGAAAAGGUGUCUGGAGGGAAUGAAGACUUGGGAGUGGACACUGUAUACAGGUAUGUAAUUGUCAACAAAUAGAUUAAGGAUACUCUUAAAAAAAAAAAGAAUGAUCCAGGAUAGCCAAAGCAUUCCUAGUAAAGAAAAAGCAAUCACUGGUAAAGACAUCCCAAAACCUUAUCUUAUAUUACAGAAACAAAGUAACAAAGCCAGCAUGGAUCUGACACAGAAACAGACAUAUAAACACUCUUAGGGUUUCUAUUGCUGUGAUAAAACCAACCAAAAUCAGCUUGAGGAGGAAAGGCAGGAACCUAGAGGCAAGAAAUGAAGCAGAAGCCAUGGAGAAAUGCUCUUUCUGACUGUUCCUCCUGGUUUGCUCAAUUUGUAUUCUUAAACACUUCAGAACCACUUACCCACGGGUGGCACCGCCCUUCCUACAUCAAUCUAG